UACGGAGGGUGCGAGCGUUGUCCGGAAUCACUGGGCGUAAAGCGCACGUAGGCGGCUUUGUAAGUUAGAGGUGAAAGCCCGGGGCUCAACCCCGGAAUUGCCUUUAAGACUGCAUCGCUUGAAUCCGGGAGAGGUGAGUGGAAUUCCGAGUGUAGAGGUGAAAUUCGUAGAUAUUCGGAAGAACACCAGUGGCGAAGGCGGCUCACUGGACCGGUAUUGACGCUGAGGUGCGAAAGCGUGGGGAGCAAACAGG
rnacentral:rRNA from 1 species